CCUACGGGUGGCAGCAGUGGGGAAUAUUGCACAAUGGGCGAAACCCUGAUGCAGCGACGCCGCGUGAAGGAUGAAGGAUUUCGGUAUGUAAACUUCUAUCAGCAGGGAAGAAAAUGACGGUACCUGACUAAGAAGCCCCGGCUAACUACGUGCCAGCAGCCGCGGUAAUACGUAGGGGGCAAGCGUUAUCCGGAUUUACUGGGUGUAAAGGGAGAGGAGACGGUAUGGGAAGUCUGAUGUGAAAACCCGGGGCUCAACCCCGGGACUGCAUUGGAAACUGCCGAACUAGAGUGUCGGAGAGGCGAGUGGAAUUCCUAGUGUAGCGGUGAAAUGCGUAGAUAUUAGGAGGAACACCAGUGGCGAAGGCGGCUUGCUGGACGGUGACUGACGUUGAGGCUCGAAAGCGUGGGGAGCAAACAGGAUUAGAUACCCUAGUAGUC
rnacentral:rRNA from 1 species